CCUACGGGAGGCAGCAGUGAGGAAUAUUGGUCAAUGGGCGCGAGCCUGAACCAGCCAAGUAGCGUGAAGGAUGACUGCCCUACGGGUUGUAAACUUCUUUUAUAAAGGAAUAAAGUCAGGCACGCGUGCCUUUUUGUAUGUACUUUAUGAAUAAGGAUCGGCUAACUCCGUGCCAGCAGCCGCGGUAAUACGGAGGAUUCGAGCGUUAUUCGGAUUUAUUGGGUUUAAAGGGAGCGUAGAUGGGUUGUUAAGUCAGUUGUGAAAGGUUGCGGCUCAACCGUAAAAUUGCAAUUGAUACUGGCAGCCUAGAGUACAGUUGAGGUAGGCGGAAUUCGUGGUGUAGCGGUGAAAUGCUUAGAGAUCACGAAGAACUCCGAUUGCGAAGGCAGCCUACUAAGCUGCCACUGACAUUGAUGCUCGAAAGUGUGGGUAUCAAACAGGAUUAGAUACCCGUGUAGUC
rnacentral:rRNA from 1 species